rnacentral:lncRNA from 1 species
UUCAGCUAAUAUCUGUAGCUCAGCUCCAUGAAUCGGCAACAAGAGUGAGGAAGGAAGUGGGAGUCCCUCUCUGUACACGCCGCGGCAUCGGGCACGCCCUGCGUCACAGCCAAUGAACUCCCUGCUCAACAACUGGGAAAUGAGGCAACCCCCUUGAUCUUUCUUCAGACCAAUGGCUGGCUCAAGACGGGCCUGGCCUGGAGGCAGAUGGUCUUGAGACAAGGAGGCCCACUGACCCACCAUGGGGGCAGCUUCCCCUCGAACCUGGGGCCUUCCAAGCUGCGGCCACU